rnacentral:lncRNA from 1 species
CUUCACUUCACCACUUGCCUCUUCUGGAACUAAACUUUCAUUUGAAGACUCACCCCUUAUAAAAAUGAUGUAAUGACGACAAUGAUGAUGAGAGCGAGUACAUGUGCUAGCCUCUCCUCUACACACUUUUCAUAUAUGUAGUCCAACAAUCCUGUGAGGUGGAUCCUAUUAUGAUUCCUAUUUACAACAUGAGGCACAGAGGAGUCUCACAGCAGGGAAGCAGCAUAGACAAGCCUGGAGCUGGGGCUGUGUAUGAUCUUCGCUGUUGCAGCUAAGAUACAGGGAGGCAUCUUGGAAGCCUUGAUGUUGCUAUGCAGCCCUGCAGGGCCUCCAUGGCCCAAUUACUGAAUUAGGUUUGUAGUUCACUCUCAGGCAAGAUGUGGGAAUUCCUCUUUCCUGACAUCUUUCCAGGCUGCUUCUCUGAGAUACUUCAUCUACCACUUCUGUCAAGAUCCUCUUUAAAGCUCCCCCGUCCAGUGUAAUUUUUUCUAAUAACGCUCUCCAUGCUGGCUCAUUGCUGUGCUCCCAUCAAUACACUCACUGCUCUCUCUGGGCCUCUGAGUCCUGCCUUGCUCCUGUGAUGCCUUGCCGGCUCCCUGCUACAUAAAAUGGAAUUUUCAGCCCUCACCCGAGUGAACUCCCUGUGGGUUAUUGUCCAAAUCUCUCCACGGGAUAUGAGGCAGCUCUCUCCACUGGCGAGGGAGGAUGGGGAGUAAGAAUGAAGAGGAGAGAAAGAGAAUGAGAGGAGGGCCUCACAGCUGGAGGAGAUGAGAACUAAGGUGGGGACACGGAGAGAUUUGGUUAAGUGCCCCGGUUGCCCAGCUGUCAGAAGAAGAGCCAGGAUUCAUCUCUGCCAGCUAGCCACGCAAACCACACUAUUAGGCUGUGUGUCUAUUUGACUCAAGGACUUCCAGAGACAAGGUUCACCGCCAGGAUGCAGCAAAUGCUUUUUAAGUCAUAAUUGUUAACACCCAUUUCUCUGUGUCCAGCGUUUACAUUUAUUACAUCUAUCAUCUUAUUUAGUCUUUACGCCAGUGCUCUGAGGAAAGUAUUAUUAUCAUCUCACUUUAAAGAUGUGGAAACUGAAGGCUAGAGCAGUUAAGAGAGUCUUCAAGGUCAAAUAGCUGGUGAAUAGUGGGGUCAGCACUUGAACUCAGGUCCUAUUUGACUCCAAUAGGGUGUUU